CUGAGGGGCAGCGGCUGAGCCGAGGCCGAGGGCGGUGCCGGGGGCGGUGCUCGGUGUCCCGGCGUUGCCGUGUCCCGGUGUCGCUCGGCGCCGCCGGGAGCCGCGGCUCCGUCCCGUCCGCCGGGAGCAGAGCGCGCAGAGAACGGCGCUGCCGCCUCGGAAACAUCUCAGGCUUUCUGCAGGCAUACCUGCCAACACCAUUUACUCCAAACUUCAACUAUUGUCUUAGGUCAGCCUACCACCCCCCUCGGAUCAACAGUCCUGCUGAAGUCGGAGGAAACAGCAAAUUUAAGCAACAGGAGGGGUUAGAUGAGAUGUCAGAAAAGUAG
rnacentral:lncRNA from 1 species